rnacentral:rRNA from 1 species
UACGUAGGGUGCAAGCGUUAAUCGGAAUUACUGGGCGUAAAGCGUGCGCAGGCGGUUUCGUAAGUCAGAUGUGAAAUCCCCGGGCUUAACCUGGGAACUGCGUUUGAAACUACAAGGCUAGAGUGUGGCAGAGGGGGGUGGAAUUCCACGUGUAGCAGUGAAAUGCGUAGAGAUGUGGAGGAACACCGGAUGGCGAAGGCAGCCCCCUGGGUUAACACUGACGCUCAGGCACGAAAGCGUGGGGAGCAAACAGG